AACCCGCCUGCAUGAAGCCGGAAUCGCUAGUAAUCGCGGAUCAGAAUGCCGCGGUGAAUACGUUCCCGGGUCUUGUACACACCGCCCGUCACACCAUGGGAGUCGGGAAUGCCCGAAGUCAGUGGCCCAACCGGAAGGGGGGAGCUGCCGAAGGCAGGCCCGGUGACUGGGGUGAAGUCGUAACAAGGUACC
rnacentral:rRNA from 1 species